rnacentral:rRNA from 1 species
UUGAACGCUGGCGGCAGGCCUAACACAUGCAAGUCGAACGGUAACAGGAAGCAGCUUGCUGCUUUGCUGACGAGUGGCGGACGGGUGAGUAAUGUCUGGGAAACUGCCUGAUGGAGGGGGAUAACUACUGGAAACGGUAGCUAAUACCGCAUAACGUCGCAAGACCAAAGAGGGGGACCUUAGGGCCUCUUGCCAUCGGAUGUGCCCAGAUGGGAUUAGCUAGUAGGUGGGGUAACGGCUCACCUAGGCGACGAUCCCUAGCUGGUCUGAGAGGAUGACCAGCCACACUGGAACUGAGACACGGUCCAGACUCCUACGGGAGGCAGCAGUGGGGAAUAUUGCACAAUGGGCGCAAGCCUGAUGCAGCCAUGCCGCGUGUAUGAAGAAGGCCUUCGGGUUGUAAAGUACUUUCAGCGGGGAGGAAGGGAGUAAAGUUAAUACCUUUGCUCAUUGACGUUACCCGCAGAAGAAGCACCGGCUAACUCCGUGCCAGCAGCCGCGGUAAUACGGAGGGUGCAAGCGUUAAUCGGAAUUACUGGGCGUAAAGCGCACGCAGGCGGUUUGUUAAGUCAGAUGUGAAAUCCCCGGGCUCAACCUGGGAACUGCAUCUGAUACUGGCAAGCUUGAGUCUCGUAGAGGGGGGUAGAAUUCCAGGUGUAGCGGUGAAAUGCGUAGAGAUCUGGAGGAAUACCGGUGGCGAAGGCGGCCCCCUGGACGAAGAUUGACGCGCAGGUGCGAAAGCGUGGGUAGCAAACAGGAUUAGAUACCCUGGUAGUCCACGCCGUAAACGAUGUCGACUUGGAGGUUGUGCCCUUGAGGCGUGGCUUCCGGAGCUAACGCGUUAAGUCGACCGCCUGGGGAGUACGGCCGCAAGGUGAAAACUCUAAGGAAUUGACGGGGGCCCGCACAAGCGGUGGAGCAUGUGGUUUAAUUCGAUGCAACGCGAAGAACCUUACCUGGUCUUGACAUCCACGGAAGUUUUCAGAGAUGAGAAUGUGCCUUCGGGAACCGUGAGACAGGUGCUGCAUGGCUGUCGUCAGCUCGUGUUGUGAAAUGUUGGGUUAAGUCCCGCAACGAGCGCAACCCUUAUCCUUUGUUGCCAGCGGUCCGGCCGGGAACUCAAAGGAGACUGCCAGUGAUAAACUGGAGGAAGGUGGGGAUGACGUCAAGUCAUCAUGGCCCUUACGACCAGGGCUACACACGUGCUACAAUGGCGCAUACAAAGAGAAGCGACCUCGCGAGAGCAAGCGGACCUCAUAAAGUGCGUCGUAGUCCGGAUUGGAGUCUGCAACUCGACUCCAUGAAGUCGGAAUCGCUAGUAAUCGUGGAUCAGAAUGCCACGGUGAAUACGUUCCCGGGCCUUGUACACACCGCCCGUCACACCAUGGGAGUGGGUUGCAAAAGAAGUAGGUAGCUUAACCUUCGGGAGGGCGCUUACCACUUUGUGAUUCAUGACUGGGGUG